ACUGUUGGCCCCGCCUACCUACACCCUCAUCAUCGGUCUGCCAAUCAACCCAUCAGACAGGAGCGCUUAAGGACAACUCCUGCCACCAGACAGGGCCCAAUGUUGUGGAGCCGGAGGAGGAUAGAUAGGGAGGGUUUUGGGGUGUUGACGAGAAGUUAGUGAAAAGCCUUUGUUGCGUGUUAGAGUGGUAAGUGUUGGGUGAACUGUAUAGUCUCUCCUUUUAUGGUGUGCUGUUCCUCCUGUUGUGUUGUGUUGUUAUGUACAGCACUCUAGGUUUUGCUAGGUACGUGUGUAUUCCCGCCCGCACAUCCCUCUCCUUCGUUGUCACGUUUCCUAACCCCUGGACGGCGACGUGACAUGUACCAAAAAACGCUGUCUGAAAAUGAAAGUAAAAGUAAUAAGUCUCGGGGCGUAAGGGGAUACAGACGGCAGAUGCACGUGUGGUGAACAUGGCCUUAGAGGUGCAGAGCCCCCAUUUAAUCAGACGUCUACUCUGCUCACUGAAGGAUGUAACAUUGUGGAUCAUCAGUGUUCUACACUACACAUUGUGGAUCAUCAGUGUUCUACUCCACAUAUUUGCGGGACUGGGAUUGUGGAUCUUCAAAUUUCCCUUUCGACUUGGAACUAACACAGAAUUGGCGCCACUGGUUGAGGUUCCAGGUGCUAAAAAGGUGAAAUAUUACCCUGUUGUUUGCGGGAAAACUCGGGGUCACCAUAAACCCAUUAUGAAGUUGCUGAAGGUCGCAUCUGAAGUGUCCACGCCUAAAGACAGUGACGUCAUCCUGGCCUUUUGUCCGGUUGUGUCUCGACUCGGGACGGACGUUGAAGCAGCUCUGAAAACCAUACAAGAAUACGCAGACUCGAAACCUGUCAUCCUGGUUGUGAUGCACCACACCUUUGACCCAGAUGCUACUGUACCAAGGAGCCAUAGGUUUGUGCAAGACGAAAAUAUUUUCACAGUGGACUGUCUUUUCCACGAGGACCUCGGGCUGCUGGCGUGUGGUACGAAUGAGAAGGCCUACAGCAGCCUCACUCAGAAGUUGUGUGAACUGAAAGAGGUUUAAUGACACUUCUCCAAGAGGAGCAAAGGUAAACCAGCAAUCAUGGAGAAAUUCCAGGAUUGACGUUGGUGAAACUCCGGAUCGGGUCUUGGACUUCAUCCUGUCUGAAAAUGUUAAGAUAAUUCUGAGAUAAUUCUUCCCAUUUUCAGAGCGAAAAAUGGAGAUAAAAUCUGAACAAAUAUUUAAUUCCUUUGGUACUUCAGGAAUAAAAUGACUAUAACCUUUAAGGAAUUUCCA
rnacentral:lncRNA from 1 species